CAAUAGCGUAUAUUUAAGUUGUUGCAGUUAAAAAGCUCGUAGUUGGAUUUCGGGUGGGACGCAGCGGUCUCGCAUUGCGUUUGUACUGCUGCAGCCCUCCUUCUUGCCGGGGGCGGCCUCUCGGACUUCACUGUCUGGGGGUCAGAAUCGGCGAUGUUACUUUGAGUAAAUUAGAGUGUUCAAAGCAAGCUUACGCUCUGAAUAUAAUAGCAUGGGAUAACACGACAGGACUCUGGCCUAUCGUGUUGGUCUAUAGGACCAGAGUAAUGAUUAAGAGGGACAGUCGGGGGCAUUCGUAUUCCGUUGUCAGAGGUGAAAUUCUUGGAUUUACGGAAGACGAACAUCUGCGAAAGCAUUUGCCAAGGAUAUUUUCAUUGA
rnacentral:rRNA from 1 species